rnacentral:lncRNA from 1 species
AGACCGCCACGGUGACUUGCAAGCAACUCACUGCACUUAGGCACUGGACUACCUGAAUUUCUAAUUCAGUGACGGAAGGCUGCUGGGUAUAGUCAAGUACUUGACUUGUCGGUGCGUGUGUCAAGAUGGGAUUGACCACUCCAGUUUAGGAGCUAUGUACAGUCGUGUUUCAAUUUAGCAAAAUCUUGGCCAGGGUAGUCCUAGUGAGAAGUCACAGGACUAUUUGAGUUG